rnacentral:tRNA from 1 species
UCCUCAUUCGUCCAGUGGUUUAGGAUAGUCGCUUUUCAUGCAGCUUCGGCUUAUGAGCGCGAUCGACCCGGGUUCGAUCCCCGGAUGGGGAG